rnacentral:lncRNA from 1 species
AGAAACAAGACACGGCGCGGCGUCGACAAUGAACUUGACCCUUGAGUUUUGCAAGUUUCGAUGCCCACUGGCAAGCGUAUUCACUCACGCAAGAACUACUAUUAAGCGCGCACGAACCAAACGGAGCGCUGACAAAAAACCAAAAAUGUAUCCGAAUCCUUUCGACAGAAAACAUUCGACGAUUAGACAAGUCUUGGACCGUUUAUUUAAAGACUCGAAACCAAUAAGAAAUAAAACUAAUCUCUCAAGAAAAAAUAGUAACAGCUCAUCAUGUUCGAACUCAUCGACGAAUUCAGAAAGGCGGAAAUACUACGGUCUUAGACUUCUCCCUUGAUCGGAUUGUGUGCUAAAAAGUGUUAUUUGUUUUACUGCUAGCCAUCACGUUCCAGUACAUUAACAACGGUACGUGACGAUGCUGUCGAUGGAUAAAACCUGUUAAGAUUUAUGUAGAUACAUACCUAUCUCCACCUGAAAUUCAUAUUAUUUGUGAAUAAUAUUUUGUACAUAUUUUACAAGAGUCUGAACUUUAGAGAAUACGUUGAACUUGUUAUUAUUAUACGACUAAUAGAAGAGUACUGCUUAAGUUUUAUUGUACUUGUUAUAAACGUCUACGUUGUUGACACUGCCUAACUACUAGCAAUAAAAGAUAUAAAUCUAUCUAAUUUUAAAAAUUGCAUGAGAUACUUUUAAAUGUCUGAUCGUGUGUUCUUUAUUCUUGGUAAGGUAUGGGUGCACUUUACGAGUAACUUUUUCAGUUUUUAUUUAUGAACUUUCAUAUAUUGUGAAUUGUUUCAUAUACCUUCAAGGUUGAUAACUUAUAUUAUUAUUUUCCUUCUGUUGUAAUUAUAUACUUAAUAGGAAAUUAAUUAUAGCAUGAUUAUGAAUUCCAAAUUUAAAUUAAGACUUUAUUCAGGCAAUAUUAGACUCGAUCCAACAAUCCAAAUCGAACGCAGAAACUCUCUAAAGAAGUAUGAGUCUUAAAAGUUUGUAAUAACUUCAUUGUAUUUUUCAUUGAAUGUAAUAAAUAUAUUUGUAUAUAUAUAUUUUUAAUAUCACUACUUUUCUAAAUGAAAGUAUAAAAUGAAAGUAAAACUGUAAUAAAUAGGUAUUGUUAUGAUGCCAUUUAAAGCUUUAAUAACUGUAAGACAUUAAAUAUUAAUCUUAGUAAUAAAUUAACACAUUAUUUUUUACAACAAUAAAUAUUUUAAAAAUG